rnacentral:rRNA from 1 species
UAUGAGUUUCCUGCUCAUGAAACUUAAAUAGCCGCGGAAAUUUAACCGUGCUAAGGUAGCAUAAUCAUUAGCCUCUUAAUUAGAGGCUCGUAUGAACGGUAAAACAUAUUAGUUACUUUAUUAAUAUUUAAUAUUCAAUUUAAACUAAGAAUUAAAAUGUUCUUAUUUAUUAAUUAGACGACAAGACCCUUUUGAACUUUACUUAAGUUUUGCUGGGGUAGCAAUAAAAAAAUAAUCUUUUAUUAAUUUUUUAUAUAAGUGUUCCAAUAACAUUGAUUUUAUGAACAAGUUACCAUAGGGAUAACAGCGUAAUAUUUUUUUAAAGUUCUUAUAUAAAAAAAUGAUUGCGACCUCGAUGUUGAAUUAGUGUAACUUAUUAGAUGCAAUAAUUUUAAAAGUAGGUCUGUUCGACCUUCAAAACACUACAUGAUCUGAGUUCCAAACCGGA